AUUGAACGCUGGCGGCAGGCCUAACACAUGCAAGUCGAACGAGUGGCGGACGGGUGAGUAAUGUCUGGAAACCUGCCUGAUGGUAGGGGAUAACUACUGGUCACGGUAACUAUUACCGCCUACCCUCUGAUGUGCCCAGAUGGGAUUAGCUAGGAGGUGGGGUAACGGCUCACUUAGGCGACGAUCCCUAGCUGGUCGGAGAGGAUGACCAGCCACACUGGAACUGAGACGCGGUCCAGACUCCGACGGUAGGCAGCAGUGGGGAAUAGUGUACAAGGGGCGCAAGCCUGCUGCGGCCAUGCCGCGUGUAUGAAGAAGGCCAUCGGGUUGUAAAGUACUUUCAGCGGGGAGGCGUUACCCGCAGAAUAAGCACCGGCUAACUCCGGGCCAGCAGCCGCGGUAAUAC
rnacentral:rRNA from 1 species